GGCCAAUCUUGCUCCCUCCAGACUAGUUGCGCUCCAGAUUCUCCGAUUCUUCAAGGGAACGAGGGUGUUGCAAACUGCGGCCAGAGGUCCAAAUCCCGUUGCUGUUCCUGUGAGGUUCAAGAGGUUCCCCCGGUUUGGUAAUGAGGAUGGGAUCGCAUUGGCUGGGCCUCUGUUGGCUCUGGGAUCUGCAGCUGACAGGUCCUGGGGCCUGAUGAAGCCCACAGGUAAGAGAGAAACAGCAAGAGAGGGA